GAUCAUGGCUCAGGGUGAACGCUAGCUACAGGCUUAACACAUGCAAGUCGAGGGGCAGCAUGGUCUUAGCUUGCUAAGGCCGAUGGCGACCGGCGCACGGGUGAGUAACGCGUAUCCAACCUGCCUACCACUUGGGGAUAACCUUGCGAAAGUAAGACUAAUACCCAAUGACAUCCCACGAAGACAUCUGAAUGGGAUUAAAGAUUUAUCGGUGAUGGAUGGGGAUGCGU
rnacentral:rRNA from 1 species